CGCACCUUGCGCUCCUUGGUAUUCCGAGGAGCAUGCCUGUUUGAGUGUCAUUAAAUCAUCAACCCCUUUUACUUUUGUGAAGGGUGGCUUGGACUUGGGGAUUGCUGGCCUUUAGAGGUCGUGGCUUCCCUUGAAUGCAUUAGCUGGACCCGUUCGCGGCGUACAUGUGGUGUGAUAAUAUCUUCACUGCAUAGCUUCGAGUGAGAUUAGCUUCUAAUCGUCCUCUCGGACAACUUACUUGACCAUUAGACCUCAAAUCAGGUAGGACUACCCGCUGAACUUAA
rnacentral:misc_RNA from 1 species